rnacentral:rRNA from 1 species
GACGAACGCUGGCGGCGUGCUUAACACAUGCAAGUCAAGGGGGCCCGCAAGGGUAACCGGCGAACGGGUGCGUAACACGUGAGCAAUCUGCCUAGAUGUGGGGGAUAGCCGGCCCAACGGCCGGGUAAUACCGCAUACGCUCUCCGGGUGGCAUCACCUGGUGAGGAAACAUUCGUGGCAUCUAGAGGAGCUCGCGGCCUAUCAGCUAGUUGGUGGGGUAACGGCCUACCAAGGCUUUGACGGGUAGCUGGUCUGAGAGGAUGGCCAGCCACAUUGGGACUGAGAUACGGCCCAGACUCCUACGGGAGGCAGCAGUGGGGAAUAUUGCGCAAUGGCCGAAAGGCUGACGCAGCGACGCCGCGUGGGGGAUGAAGCAUUUCGGUGUGCAAACCCCUGUUGCUCGGGACGAACAACUGGUUUCGACCAGUCUGACGGUACCGGGUGAGGAAGCACCGGCUAACUCCGUGCCAGCAGCCGCCGUAAUAC